rnacentral:lncRNA from 10 species
UAGGCAGCAUUUAAAAGGUUCUGUACAAUGAAUGAAAAAGAUACUGUCAUCACUGGGCAUUCCAGAGUACUAGGGAUAAGAUAAUAUACUACACAUCUUCUAGAAAGUAAAAGCAGGUUACACAUAAAGGAACAAGGAUUAGAAUGACCUCAGACUUUCAACAGCAAUGUUGAAUGCCAGCAAACAAUGAAGAAGUGCCUUUAUAAUCUUAAAAGAAUAAUUUCAAAAAUUAUUUGGGCUGGGCACAGUGG